rnacentral:rRNA from 1 species
UACGGGAGGCAGCAGUGGGGAAUAUUGCACAAUGGGCGCAAGCCUGAUGCAGCCAUGCCGCGUGUAUGAAGAAGGCCUUCGGGUUGUAAAGUACUUUCAGCGGGGAGGAAGGCGAUGCGGUUAAUAACCGCGUCGAUUGACGUUACCCGCAGAAGAAGCACCGGCUAACUCCGUGCCAGCAGCCGCGGUAAUACGGAGGGUGCAAGCGUUAAUCGGAAUUACUGGGCGUAAAGCGCACGCAGGCGGUCUGUUAAGUCAGAUGUGAAAUCCCCGGGCUUAACCUGGGAACUGCAUUUUGAAACUGGCAGGCUUGAGUCUUGUAGAGGGGGUAGAAUUCCAGGUGUAGCGGUGAAAUGCGUAGAGAUCUGGAGGAAUACCGGUGGCGAAGGCGGCCCCUGGGACAAGACUGACGCUCAGGUGCGAAAGCGUGGGGAGCAAACGAGGAUUAGGAUACC